AACGAACGCUGGCGGCGCGUCUUAAGCAUGCAAGUCGAACGGCAAGAUAGGAGCUUGCUUCUCUCCUAGAGUGGCGGACUGGUGAGGAACACGUGGGUAAUCUACCCUUAAGAUGGGGAUAGCUGCUAGAAAUAGCAGGUAAUACCGAAUACACUCGGCAUAUCACAAGAGGUGUUGAGGAAAGGAAGCUACGGCUUCGCUUGAGGAUGAGCUUGCGUCCCAUUAGCUAGUUGGUGAGGUAAAGGCCCACCAAGGCGACGAUGGGUAUCCGGCCUGAGAGGGUGAACGGACACAUUGGGACUGAGAUACGGCCCAAACUCCUAUGGGAGGCAGCAGCUAAGAAUAUUCCGCAAUGGACGGAAGUCUGACGGAGCGACGCCGCGUGGAUGAAGAAGGCUGAAAAGUUGUAAAAUCCUUUUGUUGAUGAAGAAUAAGGGUGAGAGGGAAUGCUCAUCUGAUGACGGUAAUCGACGAAUAAGUCCCGGCGAAUUACGU
rnacentral:rRNA from 1 species